UGGGGAAUAUUGGACAAUGGUGGGAACACUGAUCCAGCGAUGCCGCGUGAGUGAAGAAGGCCCUAGGGUUGUAAAGCUCUUUUAUCAGGGAAGAUGAUGACGGUACCUGAGGAAUAAGCACCGGCUAACUCUGUGCCAGCAGCCGCGGUAAUACAGAGGGUGCAAGCGUUGUUCGGAAUUACUGGGCGUAAAGGGCGUGUAGGCGGUUUGAUAAGUUAGGCGUUAAAGACCUGGGCUUAACCUGGGGGUUGCGCUUAAUACUGUUGAGCUAGAGAGCAGGAGAGGAGAAUGGAAUUUCCGGUGUAGAGGUAAAAUUCGUAGAUAUCGGAAGGAACACCAGAGGCGAAGGCGAUUCUCUGGACUGUCUCUGACGUUGAGGCGCGAAAGCGUGGGGAGCAAA
rnacentral:rRNA from 1 species